GUCUGCAUCUUCAGUUAUACGCGCUUCUGAUUUCUCGUUAGAAUAACUUCAAGAAAAAAAAAGCAUUCAGCCUGUAUUGGAACGAAAUUCC